GAUGAACGCUGGCGGCGUGCCUAAUACAUGCAAGUCGAGCGAUCAGAGGCGGUGCUUGCCCCACUGGCGUUAGCGGCGGAAGGGUGAGUAACGCGUGUGUAACCUGCCUGUGAGACAGGGAGAACAUGGGGAAACAAGAGCUAAUACCGGAUAAGAAAUUGAACCGCAGGGUUGAAUGGUGAAAGACGCCUUUGCUGUUACUAAUAGAUGAAUCCGGGUCGCAUUAGUUAGUUGGUAAGGUAAAGGCUUACCAAGGCAACGUAGCGUAGCCGACCUGAGAGGGUGAUCGGCCACACUGGAACUGAGACACGGUCCAGACUCCUACGGGAGGCAGCAGUAGGGAAUCUUCGGCAAUGGGCGAAAGCCUGACGGAGCAACGCCGCGUGAGUGAUGAAGGUCUUCGGAUCGUAAAACUCUGUUAUUAGGGAAGAACAAGUGUGUAAGUAAAUAUGCACGUCUUGACGGUACCUAAUCAAAAAGCCACGGCUAACUACGUG
rnacentral:rRNA from 1 species